CCUGGCAAUUUUAGUACAAUAAAAUAUUCUAAAAUGUAGAAUGAAUAUAUUAUUAUCUGCAAAACAAACUUUUGUAAAAUUGGCUGAACUUAUAGUGCUAAUUGGCUUCACACUUACAAGUAUGUCACUUGACAUUGCCGUUUUGUUGUAUAAAGUAAUAGAGGUGGUGUAUUAGAUCACAUCUGAAUAUCGGUAAACUACGAAAGUCAUACCCACUGUUAGAAAAAAAGUAAAAUCACAAAAAUACUGAACUUAGAGGAAAAUCAAUUCGGAAA
rnacentral:lncRNA from 1 species